rnacentral:lncRNA from 1 species
UACACAAAAAAUAAUAGAUAUAAACUUAAUAUAUAAAAAUCUUUAUACAUAUAAAUUUAUACAUGUAAACCUUUAUAUCUAUAAAAGUUAAAUCUCUAUUUGUAAAGCAAAAACAUGAAAGAAAAAAGAAAAAAUGCCACGCGUCUGCAGUCUAAUUGGGCCGCAUCAGUAUACGUGGGCCUUGGCAUGGCUAGAAGUGCCGCGCGGCCCGCGCGCCUAUCUGCGACAGUGGAGUGGAACGUGUUCGCGCGAGGACGAUGUGAGCGACGAAUUAGACUAUUCGGCUUCGGUUGCUCCGCUUUUGUUCGUCGCCCCCCAAAACCCUAGCCCAUUCCCUUCACCUGCUCGACAGCCUCCGCCGGCGACUGUGUUGUCGGUAGGCGGUGGUCCUAACAGCGGCGGCGUCUCUACGCCUGCUCGACGGCCUCCGCCGGCGCCUGUGUUGUCGGUAGGCGGUGCUCCUAACGGCGGCGUGGCUUAACGGCGGN